rnacentral:rRNA from 1 species
CCCUUAGAUGUUCUGGGCCGCACGCGCGCUACACUGAUUCAUGCAACAAGUUUUGUCCUUGGCUGAUAGGCCUGGGUAAUCUUUGAACGUGAGUCGUGAUGGGGAUAGAUGAUUGCAAUUAUUCAUCUUCAACGAGGAAUUCCUAGUAAACGCAAGUCAUCAGCUUGCAUUGAUUACGUCCCUGCCCUUUGUACACACCGCCCGUCGCACCUACCGAUUGAAUGGUCCGGUGAAAUCUUCGGAUCUGAGAGAUGUCUGAUUAAUUUCGGACGCCUUUUGGGAAAGUUGUUUAAACCUUACCAUUUAGAGGAAGGUGAANUCGUANCA